rnacentral:rRNA from 1 species
GAACGAGAAAGUGGAGCAAUCCAUGAGUAAAGUGGCGACNCGGGUGAGUAACACGUGACUAACCUACCCUAGAGUGGGGGAUAACCUCGGGAAACCGGGGCUAAUACCGCAUAACAUCGCGAGGGGAAGAUCCUUGCGAUCAAAGGAGCAAUUCGCUCAAGGAGGGGGUCGCGGCUGAUUAGCUAGUUGGUGAGGUAACGGCCCACCAAGGCGAAGAUCAGUAGCCGGCCUGAGAGGGCGCACGGCCACACUGGAACUGAAACACGGUCCAGACUCCUACGGGAGGCAGCAGUGGGGAAUUUUGCGCAAUGGGGGAAACCCUGACGCAGCAACGCCGCGUGGAGGAUGAAGUCCCUUGGGAUGUAAACUCCUUUCGAUCGGGACGAUAAUGACGGUACCGGAAGAAGAAGCACCGGCUAACUCUGUG